rnacentral:rRNA from 1 species
GACGAACCACACGAACGUUAUUCGGAAUCACUGGGCUUAAAGGGUGCGUAGGCGGCGCGGAAAGUAGGGUGUGAAAUCCCUCGGCUCAACCGAGGAAUUGCGCUCUAAACUACCGUGCUCGAGGGAGAUAGAGGUGAGCGGAACUUAGGGUGGAGCGGUGAAAUGCGUUGAUAUCCUAAGGAACACCGGUGGCGAAAGCGGCUACACUGG